rnacentral:tRNA from 2 species
GGACAGGUGCCAGAGUCAGGCUUAUUGGGGCGGUCUUGAAAACCGUUGGCGCAGGAGCGUCCGUGGGUUCGAAUCCUACCUUGUCCG